GUCGAAAGACGGACUUAGUGAUCCGGUGGUUCCGCAUGGAAGGGCCAUCGCUCAACGGAUAAAAGCUACCCCGGGGAUAACAGGCUUAUCUCCCCCAAGAGUUCACAUCGACGGGGAGGUUUGGCACCUCGAUGUCGGCUCAUCGCAUCCUGGGGCUGUAGUCGGUCCCAAGGGUUGGGCUGUUCGCCCAUUAAAGCGGUACGCGAGCUGGGUUCAGAACGUCGUGAGACAGUUCGGUCCCUAUCCGUCGUGGGCGUAGGAAAUUUGAGAGGAGCUGUCCUUAGUACGAGAGGACCGGGAUGGACAUACCUCUGGUGUACCAGUUGUCGUGCCAACGGCAUAGCUGGGUAGCUAUGUAUGGACGGGAUAAGUGCUGAAAGCAUCUAAGCAUGAAGCCCCCCUCGAGAUGAGAUUUCCCAACUUCGGUUAUAAGAUCCCUCAAAGAUGAUGAGGUGAAUAGGUUCGAGGUGGAAGCGUAGCGAUACGUGGAGCUGACGAAUACUAAUCGAUCGAAGACUUAAUCAA
rnacentral:rRNA from 1 species